ACGUAGGGGAGGAGCCAGCGAGAUGGGCGGGCCAGAGGACGUUAAAGUGAAUAAAAAUGAGAAUCAUCAUCAGCGGGGUUCGACAAGGACUUCUGGAGUUCCGUAGGGUGUCGUUUCAGGUGGACUCCUCAAAAUAAGACGUACGUUGUAGGCGUUAGCCGCGAAGACACUGAGAGGCUGACCGGAAGUUGCGGACUUUGCUAGAACGCUAGCGACGAGCGAGACGCCGCCUGGCUUAGGUCGACGACGACGACGACGACGACGACGACAAAAAGCUGCUUCCACGGAGAAGGACAGCGUUCCGACCUUGCCGACGCCGGCCGAGGCACUCAGCGUUCUUCACUACUGCCUUUUGGACCGCGACCGUGAAAAGUUAACGCCGUCGUCGCAAACUUUUGAUCACGCCGGACUUUGAGCGCUUCAAUUGUUGACACGAAGAAAGUAACGUUUACUGCAGUGAGCAGCCGGCGGAGAUGACAUCAUUGGGAUUUUAUGACCUGCGCCAAGGAGGAAGCUCGUAAAAUUGGAGGGACACGCCGAAAGAAACCCACCACGAGGAUUACGGCCGUUUCCUGACUCCCGGCAUUUCAUCACCGCUCCAGCGGUCGCUAACGCUUGUCCCUGGAUGCUUCAUCGUGCUGCCGCUGGACAUACAUCCCAAGUAGUUUUUGGUUUGGUCUUUGUCCAAUCUAACGAAGGGACUUUUGGAAACCGAAUGUGCUUAAACGGCCGUAACACGUCACAACACACGGGGACUUUUGGUCUGGACUUCAGGAACUCCUAUUAUUGGAUUAACGACGUCGAUCGAGCUUCAGUGAUGUCUUUGCGUGUCGCUCAGAGUGGGCUUGGGCCUCUCUCGAUAAGACGCCAUCGCGAUGCUUGAAGAAGAAGAAGAAGAAUUGUCGACUGUUCAUGCUUUGACUGUAAUCCUCGACCUCAAAAAGGAAAAACACCCCCCCACCCCCCACCCCACACACACACACACACACACACACCCCCCCCCGACCCCCUCCAAGUAUCAACAUUGACUUUGGCUAUUUUGAAGACUUUGCAUCAGUCAAUCAAAGCUACGCCACCUCGCGAGGACUGACUUAAAUGAAUCGAGGUUUCCGGCUGACUUUGACAAUACCGUAAUUAAUAAUUUGAGGGUGGAGGGAAUCUCAGCACGUCGCUUCGGCCAUUCCCGCCCCCCUCGCGCUCUUGAAACUUUUGUAUUCAAGCACGGGCCAGAUAUCACUUUUGAGGCUGCUCGGCAGAUGACGAAGAGGUCUGAAGAAACAAAGACUUCGGGGCAAGCAAUAAAUCAACAACGACCUGGUUUCCCUGGGGCUAUUCAGACACUCGGGGUGUAAAAGUCUCAAAGGCAACGAGCACUCGAAAGUCCGGAACUGUGGACGGAUUCUGCCCGCGCGCACCCUCAACGCCGCAUGCCAGAUAUCUGCGGAGUUCUUGGGCAAGAGUAGGCGUCGCGGGACAGACGUCCGGACGGGAAUGACCACGGCUCGGGUCCUAAAAAAAAAAAAAAAAAAAAGAGCACGCUGACACGUUAUUGACGACCACGCGAGCGACGACCGGCGACAAAGCGAUUAAAAACGACACAACUUGCAGCGCCGCUCACUUGUUUUGUUACUCGAGACAGAAACCUCGGAAAGGUGCGCAUCCCUCGUCGCCUACGCUUGAACGCGAGCGCCGCCCGGGGACGGCGCCUUUGCUUUUUGGGCUGAGCGGCACCUGUCGGGAGGAUUGAUGUCUCCAGCUGCUGGGUCAAGAGACACGGGGGCAGGGACAGAGCGCAUUAAAUCUGACGGGCGAGGCGAGGCGAGACGGGACGGGACGGGCGCGGUCGGGGCCGCAGAUGAGGUACGACGGAGCGCCGGGUGAUUGCUCGAGAGGGAAGGGGCUCUACCUUGAAUAUCUUCAAGGUGACUCAGUAUUGCCUGGACAUUCCCGGUGGUUUACUACUGCUGAAAGGGAUUGAGCGCGAUAAUUUCAAGGUGCAAAAGCUUUUUGCACAUGUCCAAAUAUGCAGUAAAUCACUGCAAGGAGCCGAGGUGGCUCAAAUGCGUUCUCCGGUGAAAUGGCUCAAACGCUAACGGAAGCGUUCAGGGCAGCGGCGGCGGCGGCGGCGGGGCUGCCCAUCCCCCCCCCCCCACCCGUCGGCAAACGGGAGGAGGAACCAAAAUGGCCUCCGUUCGCACGACGGUCGGCUCAACCGGGCAAAGUGAGCGGACCGCGGGCCCGGCGUGUGUGCCCACCCUGACCCGUGAGGGGACGUCUUGCGUGGCGCGUUGCGCUCGCUCCAAAAGAGGAGAAACGGAGACGUUCCCGCUCGGCUUCGUUGGAGCGACGGCGGCGGCGGCCUUGACAAACCAGGAUGGCAGAUGCGCGACCGCCAGUGGAGAAAAGAAGACAGAAAUACUCCAUUUUUAAGGAACAUUCUGCGUACCUUUGCGUGAUAGUGACAGUAAAUUGCGCUACCGGC